GAUGAAGAACGCAGCAAACUGCGAUAAGUAGCGUGAAUUGCAGACGCUUUGAACGUUAAACUUUCGAACGCAUAUUGCGCCGUAGGAGUCCUACCCUACGGCACAUCUGGUUGAGGGUCGUGAUCGUAAACAGCAUGAAUGUGGCUGUAAUAGAAAUAGCUGGUGAAUCAUGGGUUCGGCCCACCCGCCUCGGGUCGAACGUGUUUUGUCAUAAUGCUAUAGAGGACAAUUCAUAUGGAUUGCCUACCACACGGAUGACUUAUCGAUGGAUGCGAUAGGUCCCGGUCCUUGGGUAUCGUAAAUUUGCUUAGGCAAAAAUACUCUUAGGCGUCGGGGACACCGUCGAUUUACCUCAUACGUGCUUGGUGCUAGAGAGUUUUCGCUCUCCCGACCUCAACUCAGGUGUGAUUACCCGCUGAACUUAAGCAUAUCAAUAAGCGGAGGA
rnacentral:misc_RNA from 1 species